rnacentral:rRNA from 1 species
AACGAACGCUAGCGGCAGGCCUAAUACAUGCAAGUCGUACGGCAACACAGUUGCGAGCAAUCGCAACCGGUGGCGAGUGGCGCACGGGUGAGUAACGCGUAUGUAACCUACCCUUCUCCGGGACAUAACUCCGCGAAAGCGGUGCUAAUAUCCCAUACCAACUCAUCAAGACAUCUUCUUGAGUUGAAAGCAGCAAUGCGGUGAAGGAUGGGCAUGCGUCCCAUUAGCUGGUUGGUGAGGUAAUGGCCCACCAAGGCUACGAUGGUUAGCUGGUCUGAGAGGAUGAUCAGCCACACUGGAACUGAGACACGGUCCAGACUCCUACGGGAGGCAGCAGUGAGGAAUAUUGCGCAAUGGGGGCAACCCUGACGCAGCAACGCCGCGUGAGUGAGGAAGGUUUUCGGACCGUAAAGCUCUGUCGAGCGGGAAGAAAUGUAUCAUGGCUAAUAUCCAUGAUACUUGACGGUACCGACG